rnacentral:rRNA from 1 species
GUCAGCAGACAUAUCGCCCUGCAACCCACAGCUAGCAACCCACUGAAUCAAAGCAGAAGUGAGCCUGGUCAGUACCUGGAUGGGAGACCACCUGGGAAAAAUUAAGGUUGCUGCUGUAA